rnacentral:snRNA from 1 species
GUUUCUUCUCGGCCUUUUGGCUAAGAUCAAAGUGUAGUAUCUGUUCUUAUCAGCUUAAUCUCUGGUACAGACCUGCGAAGCUAAUAUGUAUUGUGGUACUGGGUUCGAUUCCCGGUCUUUAGGCCUUGGAUUUUAUUUAAUGGUUAAUAAAAAGAAAUUUACAGUAAAGUAUGU